CAAAUACUCCCUCCGUCUGAAAAUAUUUGUCAUAGGAAUGGAUGUAUCUAGUUCUAGAUACAUCCAUUUUUAUACAUUUGUGCCACAAGUAAUUUCGGAUUGAGGGAGUAACAC
rnacentral:pre_miRNA from 1 species